rnacentral:rRNA from 1 species
ACUUAAAUUGAAGAGUUUGAUCAUGGCUCAGAUUGAACGCUGGCGGCAGGCCUAACACAUGCAAGUCGAACGGUAACAGGAAGCAGCUUGCUGCUUCGCUGACGAGUGGCGGACGGGUGAGUAAUGUCUGGGAAACUGCCUGAUGGAGGGGGAUAACUACUGGAAACGGUAGCUAAUACCGCAUAACGUCGCAAGACCAAAGAGGGGGACCUUCGGGCCUCUUGCCAUGGCGUGUGCACAGCUGGGCUUGGGUAGACAGUGGCUAACCGGCACCACUAGGC